GCCACCCUGGACUCAGGGACAGGAUUUAUGGGCAGACAUUGUUAGGAGAACAGAUGUUCGGGCAGGCAGGCCUGGGACCCGCUGGAGGGAGUCAAGAAGACACUACCUCCUAAUUAAUAGGCGGUAAAUGUCUGAGGAACAGACUCCUGUCCCAUUUCUUCAAACAUCUGGGGUUCCGGACACUUAGGCCCUCUGCCAGGAGACAUGAAUCUGGGGAUUAAAAGUUUCUGUGCUUUUCUUCAAACAGAACAAUCCUAAAACCACAUACUCUGAAAGUAUCAUUGAAACUGACCGAGAAGAGAAUCCUCAGCCAGAUUUUCCAUGGAGAACCAGACCUGUCUAAACCAGUAUGAGCUUUCAUUACAGUAAAGUAAUGGCAAAAGAAGCCUCGGGGCAGACAAUUCCAGAUUCACUAUUUAAGUGGCCUUAGGUGACUGGAUUCACCUCUCUGAGCCUCCAUUUUUCUCAUAUGAAAGACAGGAAGAGUGCUACCACCUUUCAGUUUAAAAGGAAGAUUACAAAAAAGGAUAAAGCUCUUCCUACAUAGCAGGAGCUCAAUAAACAGCAUCUAUUACCAUCAUGA